UACGGAGGGUGCAAGCGUUAUCCGGAUUUACUGGGUUUAAAGGGUGCGCAGGCGGAUAUGUAAGUCAGUGGUGAAAUCUCCAGGCUUAACCUGGAAAUUGCCGUUGAUACUAUAUAUCUUGAAUGCUGUGGAGGUAAGCGGAAUAUGUCAUGUAGCGGUGAAAUGCUUAGAGAUGACAUAGGACACCUAUUGCGAAGGCAGCUUACUACGCAGAUAUUGACGCUCAUGCACGAAAGCGUGGGGAUCAAACAGG
rnacentral:rRNA from 1 species